rnacentral:rRNA from 1 species
UACGUAGGGUGCGAGCGUUGCCCGGAUUUAUUGGGCGUAAAGGGCGCGUAGGCGGCCACGCACGUCCGUUGUGAAAUCGCCCGGCUCAACUGGGCGGGGUCGGCGGAUACGGCGUGGCUGGAGCAAGCUAGGGGGCAAUGGAAUUCCCGGUGUAGUGGUGGAAUGCGUAGAUAUGGGGAGGAACACCAGUGGCGAAGGCGACUUCCUGGCCUGUUCUUGACGCUGAGGCGCGAAAGCUAGGGUAGCAAACGGG